rnacentral:lncRNA from 10 species
UACAAAGCCAACAUCACCCUAAUAGCAAAACCAGGAAAGGACACAACCAAAAAAGAAAACUACAGACUGAUAUCCCUGAUGAACAUAGGAGGCAGGAAGGCUGUGGCUGUCCUCUCCUUAUCCAACAACUCCAGAGACAUCUUGUAUUGUGACAAGUGUCAAUGCCCAGGCGACUGUGUUUUUUUUUCAAACAUAGUCUUUUUAAAGACAACAAACCAUUGCUAGUAAAGAAAAGGAUUGGAAACGAAAGGGCUCUCAGUGUGAGCCACUCCAACAGGAUUAUCUGUCCCAGGUGAGAUUCUGCAUAGUUUCCGGAGCAGAGAGGUUACCAGAGGAUUAUCUGCUUCCUCAUUCUCUAUUUCAGGUUCCUAGACUUUAAAAGCAUAAUGCUAAGAAUGAUGAUUGUAAUAAUGGAUCACAUUUGUAGAGCAUUUACUAGUUGCCAGGCAAUGUGGUAAGCUUGUUACCUGAAUUACCCACAUUUUAUCCUCAUCAUAACUCUAGGAGGCAAUAACCCCGAGCAGUCAUUUAUGCUUUUAGAGUUAAAAGUCUGCCAUUCAUCAAACUAGCAGGAUUUUUAUAAGCUUCCUCCUACCUGAUUUAUUUUAAAAGGCAUUUUAACCGCCGCCCAAAAGGUUUUCUUCUGCAAAAUAAAAUGUGAUACCCUACAUUUUCCAGAGGAGAAAGAUGUUUCUCAUUUAAAUUGUGCUCAGCAAAUAGAUCUAAGAAAGCAAUAUAAUCAAAUGAAAUUAAAUACAAAUUUGUUUUGAUUUAAUUAGAAAAAAAUGUGUAUUGUUUUUCCUAUUUAUCCAACCCAACAUAUGAGAAAAAAAAUCAUAAAGUGGGAUGAAACUUAUAGUUCCACAACAGCAUGACAGGGAGUAUAAAUGGAUACACUCUCUCAGAAAGACAUAGAAGCUCAGCAAAGUAUUACAUUUAUUAACGUAAUACUUUAAAAAAUUGAUACAGAUCAUUUAUUAUAAAAAUUAAAAUAGUUCUAAAACCAGGGUUAGAAUUCUCCUCCUCCCACCCUUUGCAACUAGAGAAGGUGGGUGAGGAGAGGGAGGAGGGAUAGGAGGGAGAGGAGGAGGAGAGAGGAUAUAAGAGGCGGGAAGGAGGAAUAGGAAGAGCCGCAGGAGGAGGACGGGUUGGGAGGAAGGUGCAAUAACUUGUCAUUCUGACCUUCGGUCUUUUUUGAGACCCAGGUGUUGAUGUGUUUCCUGGACUCUUCUGCAGCUCUGAUAAAGGAAAGCUCCUUCAGCUCAGCAUGGUAGAAUUGAAGACAGGAUUCCUUAAACGUCUUUGGAGAGAAAAAUGUUCAGUGAGGCUGCAUUGCUAAAUACAAAUG